GAUCAAAAAGUUACGGGACUGAUUUUGUCACGUAAAAAGAGAGGGCAGCACAGUAAUACGCGCGCAGCAGUCGAAGGAGGGAACCUUCGUGCCUCGUUACACCACAGGGCGUCGCUCUGUGCACAUCUGGAGCUGCGCUCUGUUCCGAGGACAUGUGUCAGGCUGGGAGUUUGACAGGGGCGGUACAUCUGCCAAAUGGUAACUAACGUAGGUGUCCUAAGGCGAGCUGAGCGAGGACAGCAACCUCGCGUAGAGAAAAAGGACACGAGUUUUUGUGACCACGUGCACGCGCACAAUGGCGAUCUCUCCAUAGACUGCGAACCAAAGCGAGAGCAAAGUCAAUUUUACGUCAUACCCGGCAAAUCGGGAACGGAGACCUCUGAAGUGAUUUAGAAGGCUUAUGGGUGGAAAAGCAGUGAGGUGUGCGAG
rnacentral:ncRNA from 1 species